ACUAGCAGCUCCAUAUGCAAUCGUAGCUUUGGUGUACAUUGAACGACUUCGAACUAAUGCUAACAUCGAUCUUUGUCCUACUAAUUGGAAAAAGAUUGUCCUUGGAGCCAUGCUUCUUGCCUCCAAGGUUUGGAUAAAUCAUGGUCUGUGGAGUGUGGAUGACAGCCAGAAUCCCAAGGACAUUGCAGUUGAGAACAUGGGCAAGAUGGAGAAGUGUUUCUUAGAGCUACUUGAGUUUAAUAUUCAUGUAUCUGCCAGUGUCUAUGCAAAAUAUUACUUCGAUCUGUGUGCCUUGGCAAAUGACCAUAACUUGUAUUUUCUAUU